GCCACGGGGAAGGUAGACUGCAGCUUGUUUUCUUCUCGUUCACCGAACUACCAGUCCACCACAUGCCAAGAGAUCUCGAACAGUGUAGCCGCGGUCCUUGAGGGAAGUCACAGCUAGGACGGAAUUGAGAGAGUUGCCACCGACGUGAAAGAAGUUGGAGUCGAGAGUAAGAGUCGUUCCUUUAGCCACGGCGGGACCCAGCACGCGACCAAGUGUUAGGAGCAAGACCCUGGCCAUUGCUUCCUCCUCCGCCGACUGAACCCCCGUCAAGUCUAUCUGCACAUCCUCGAGGCCUUCUGAAGGGAAAGUGAGUCAGCUCCUGACGGUCCACUUUACCGUUCACCAGCAGCGGGAAGUCUUGAAGGCAGACCACCUGAGACAGAAGCACAAGUCACUACUACUACUACUACUACUACUACUACUACUACUACUACUACUAGUGAUACUGCUAUUGGAUGAUGAAGGUGGAAAGUAGUCUUGGAAGUUAAACACCGGCACGCCCUCCUCCUGCGCCACAUCCGCUGCCUCGCAUGACGCUUCCACCAGCAGCAGGGCGGGGCGGGCGUCUCUCAGGAUGUGUGCCACGCGGCCGGCCGGAAAGGCGACAUCCAGCGGCAGGUGUGGCUACUGUGAGACGGAAAUAUGGCACUGACAGUACGGUUGCUGCAUUCAGAGUUCUCAAGAGUGUUAGUUCUGUUAAUGAAAUAGAAAUCUUAUAAAUUUGUCACUAGAAUCAUAAAAAAAACAUCAUUAAAAACCCGCCUAACUUUAACUAUAUACAGACGCUUUUGAAAGUAGCUGGGAUUCGAACAGAAGUGUUUUAUAAAGUGACAGAUGCGGUCUUGAUUACCUUGUGUAUGGCCAGCAGGCAGGUGACGAGGCGGGAGGAGGGCGGGAGGCAGACGGCUACUACUCUGUCACCAUCGGGGUUGUCACACGGCCCGCUGGUAAGACGCCGCAGAAGGCAUCUAUCGAGGGACAGAGAGGUGUUAGCGCUACAUAAAACUUUAACCCCUUCAGUACCAGGACACGUUUUCAUAUCUAUUCUGCUUACUGUUUGGUGAUUUAACAGCUUCAGAAAAUUACGUAGGGAUU